CUUUUGUCCAAGGAGCCCCCAACCCUUGCUGGUGGAUUGGAAGGACUUUGAUCUACUAGGGCCCCAUAACACUGAUGAAUGACCUCUGGCUCUUACCCCACCUACAUCUGUUUGGAGUCCUGGAAGAUUUCGGCCGAAAGAUAAGAAUUUGAAUAAGUUAUAAGCAAUUGAAAGAAGCCCUUUGGACUGGAAAAAAUCCCUUUGAUCUUAACUAGCCCUGGAAAUCUGUAUGAUCAAUGAUGCAGUUCAAAACCCACAAGAGCUGACUUCUGUGUCUAGAGAAGAGCAUAUUGUGAAGC